rnacentral:tRNA from 1 species
GGAGAUGUGGCUCAGUGGUUAAGAGCACUGGCUGCUAGUCCAGAGUAUCUGGGUUAGAUUCCCAGCACCCA